CCUACGGGAGGCUGCAGUGAGGAAUAGUGGUCAAUGGGAGAGAUCCUGAACCAGCCAAGCCGCGUGAGGGAAGACGGCCCUAUGGGUUGUAAACCUCUUUUGUCGGAGAACAAAACCCGGGACGUGUCCCGGACUGCGUGUAACCGAAGAAAAAGCAUCGGCUAACGCCGUGCCAGCAGCCGCGGUAAUACGGAGGAUGCGAGCGUUAUCCGGAUUUAUUGGGUUUACAGGGUGCGUAGGCGGUCCGUUAAGUCAGCGGUACACUUGCGGGGCUCAACCCCGUCGAGCCGUUGAAACUGGCAGUCUUGAGUGCGCGCGAAGUCUGCUGUAUGCGUGGUGUCGCGGUG
rnacentral:rRNA from 1 species